CCCUGCUCGUGUCUGCCCAGGAGGCGCCCCGGGCGCCAUACCCACUGGACACUGUGGACCGACGGGCAGGGCAGAACCUCGGUCCACAGCGGGGCUUCCCGGGGCUGUCUGGGGGCACGGGGAUGUCUCAGGUCCGGGGUUGCUGGUUCCGGCAGCCUGGGCUGGGGGCAGGGAAGGUUAAGGCGCCCCGGCGACGUCCUCUCCGGUCAGGGAAGACCCACAGGCGCUGCAUCUUCUAACAAUGCCGUGCCAACAGCCCUGCUCCCUGGGGACCUUCCCUGAGCACAGAGGAAGGUGGCGCUGCUCAGCAGUGCCCCGUGUCCCUUCACCUGUCCACACCCCCUGGGAGGGCCCUGCAGGCGGCUGGGCCCUCUGGGGAGAUCUGCCCCCACCUCUGUGCCCCCAAAGGGCUGAGAAAGUGGAGACCUCACACCUGCACUUUAAUUCUUUCAAAAGUAAAAUUUGCACAAUUUCCCUUAAAAAGCUGAUUACGGACUUUACUCGUCGCCUGCUUUGCUCCAUUCAGGGCUGGGCACCAUCAACUGACAGCCUAAAUGAGCUUCUGUGCAAACAUUUUAAAAGGGCAGACUGUCCUCCAGUGAGCUAAGUCCCCUUGCAUGACUGGCCACUGGCCACAGCCAUGGAUGGAGGGCUGGGAUGUGCCAGGGGCGUCCAGCCCAAUCCUGCAGGAGGCACGGAGAAGGGGGCUCCCGGCUGGCUCCCCCAGACCUAAUAGCCAGUCUCAGCCGGCCAGGUCCCAGCCUGUGCCCCCUUCCAGGGUCCCCUCCCCACCCAGAGGGGGUUCUUCGGUGCUGAAACGCUGACCUCCUUGUGCUCCUGUCAGACUGCUCUGCACGGCUGACUGUCCUGGGCAUGGUCCCCUUUGUCCCCUGAGAGCGUGAAGGAGCUAAUCCAUCCAUGACGAAGGGCCCAGGCGUGGAGCCUACCAGGAGCUGUGAACAUUCUAAUGUCUUCCUUCGCGCUUGGUGACGCUCCAUGCUGCAGGUAUUCUGAGUCUGGAAGGAAGCAGCUGUCGGUGUGGACUGUGAGGACAUGCACACUGAUUCUCCAAGGGGCUUGUGCCCCCUCCACUCUCCUCCACAGCCGCUCCACUCAGCGCUGGGGCUGGUAGAAGCAAUCAAGAUGUCCUGGAGCAACGAUGGAUAGCAAAGAAGCUGCCCCCACUGUGGCCCUAAAAGGUAGUUUCUGGGAGUCGUGAACUUGUCAUCUCUCAACUCUCUUCUCUUCCAUGAGGACUUCAUUCAGAGUCUUCAUGUGGUGGGAAGACUUCUGAGAGCCGUUUCAGGUUCAAGUGGGUUUCAGAGGCCUUAGUCCAUAGAAGGCCAGCUCCAUCCCACGGGGCCCACGGUGAGGCUGAACAUCAUGGCGAGAGAGCGUGGCAGAGGGAAGCAGCUCACAGGGUGCUCAAGAAGCAGAGAGAGGGCGAGUAUCAUUUCUAUCACCCCCUACAGCAGGAACUGGCACACAGUAGGUGCUUAACUGAUGUAAGAAAACAAGAGCCCACACCACCCUGGCCCGCAUCCCCUCAGUGUCUCUGAGCAUCCCUGAACUUGGAGGUUGCACCAAGGUGAGCUGGCCCUCGCUGUCCUCCUGACCUUGGAAGUCUUAGGCUGGCGACUGGGAGAUCCUGUCCACCUCCAUGCCCCUGACCCAGUCCUCCUGGGUGAGCUAUCCUCUAUGGCUAGCUCCUCCACCUCCAUUUUCUGGGGCACAAAACUGACCUUGAACUUCCUGGGCAUAGCUCAGCCUAGGAUGCACAGACAACUCAACCCUGAUCUAGCUGCUCGCUGGUCUCAGCCCCUCUCUUCUGCUUGGGUCCUGGGAGCAAAUGCAUCUGAAAACCUGCGUGGAGAAGCCAGUGACCAAGUCCACAGACGAAGGGCGUCCCUUUCCAAGCACCUGGGUGUUUACCAAACUGAGAGCCAAACGUGUGUUCCCAUCCCAGCCUCACACUUGGUUGAAUUCUGCUCUGUCCCUGACAGGGGCUUCAGCCUGGAGGAGUGUUCAGAAACACAGGGAUGAGAUUUCGAGAGCUGUGACCUAAUCGUGCAUCCGGGUUCCAAUGACGUGGUGACCAUGGCAGGUGCCUGUGGCUGGAGGAGGAGGGUCCCUGGAGCCAGUCCUGGGAGGGUGCUCUUGGAAGACACCUGGACACUCCUCUCCCCUUGUCUUGGUGUCACCAAGAGUGCAGAGCAGGGGCCAGCCAUGUGACUGCAGGGACAGCAAGAGGAAGAAACCAGGACUUCAGGCCUGGGCUCUGGGUGCCUGGACAUCCAUUCAGCCUCCGGAAGGCUCCCUUGCCGUUCAUGUGACAUGUAAAGCCCUGGCCUCUCCACUGCGGAUCCACCCAGUCCCUGUGUGGUGGGGUGCUGGGGCCGUGGCUGUGGGUCUUGUGCCCAGUGCAGGGAGGCCUUCUGCCUCCCCAUAUGGCCCUGGGCAGAAGGCAGCAUAAGCCCUGGAGGUGUGGGGCAGCUCAGAGAGAGCCGCAGAAGGGAGGUCACCGCACAGCUCCACUGUGCAGAUGGAAUCCAUUCAUCUGGAUGAGCAGAGGGAACUUGGCAGAGAGGAGUAAAUGCAAAGUACUGGAGGGUGCAGUCCACUUGGAAGAUGGGCUGAGUGGGUGCUGGUUUGUCGUUGAUCCCCGAGAACCCAUGAACGGCCAAACUCGGGCACCGGAAGCCUUUUUUCCCACGAUUGAGUUGGGCGUUCAAGCACAAUCACCGUGUUUAACAUGCAGAAGUUGGAACUCCAUUCUUGGAUUUUGUGUGUUUGAAUGUGGCAUUUUGAAUUCUUUUGUAUGACAAAAGACAGAAAGUGUCAAACACAAAUUAACAUUUCUAACAAAAGGACUGUCCAUCAAGUGAGGGACGCAUUUCACGAGACGUAUAAGCACGAUGAGUCAGUAGCAUGGAAACGCCUAAAACAGGAUGCUGGGGAGUCGAGCACCCCGGGACUGCAGUGAGCCCUGUAGGCUACCUGGACAGCACAGAAGGAGAGCCGCAGGGCUGCCCUGUCCUGGACCCUGACCCUUCAUUCUUAGGCCACAGAAGCAGGUUUGCUGUGGUCAUUUCAGCGCUUGGUGCUGGAGGACACCCAGUAAGCUUCUUCAAGAAAGAGCACACAGACCUGGGCUCAUUUAACAGCCCUUUGCAGAAUUAAUAAUCCUGCCAUGUGCAAAGGAUUUGCCUAAGCAUUGUGCAGGAAUAAGAGGUCCCUGCCCCUAGAAGAUGGACAAUAGGUCACCACACUAAAAAGACGGAGAGAGGUAAUUUACAGAAUAAUGUACACCAUGGAGGGACUUAAGCCAGAACCCAGGUAGGGUUCCAAGAGGACAGAUGGUGCAAAGGCCCUGAGGCAGGGCCCCACUGGCAAGUCCAAGGGGAAGCAACGCCAGGCCGUGGCGGCCUGCUGUGAGGACCAGGGAGGUUGGCAGAUGGAGGCAGCAGGGUCAGAUCAGGCAAAACCCAUUAGGUCAUGGCCUGGAGUCUACACAUAUAUUAUCUUACCUUUAAUCAGCCUUGUUGAGAUUAAAUCUAUGUACAACAAAAUAACUAAUUUUGAGUAUGCAAUUUGGGGGGUUCUGCAGGACUAGGGAAACUCCACUAUAACCCUGAUGUUGCAGGCUUCCAUAACCCGAGAAAGUCACCCCCUGCUGAGUGUGGUGGCCCGGCCUGUGAUCCUCGACCAGGAGGCUGAGGCAGGAGGAUACAAGUUCAAGUCCACCUGGGGAACUCAGUGAGACCCUGUCUCAAAACAAAGUAAAAAAGGGGCUGGGAUGUGGCUCA